rnacentral:hammerhead_ribozyme from 1 species
CUGCUGAUGAGACCCAACCAGGUCGAAACAGCUGUCUAGCAG